rnacentral:lncRNA from 12 species
GGAAUGAAUACAAUCGGCCCUUGGCAAAUCCAGUAGUUUGAAAUAACUGGAGAGUUCUGCAGGCCCAAGUGUUACAGAUCUUCUUUCCUGGCCUCUCAUGAUGGUGUCCACAGUGGAGCAUGGCUAUUUUAUGCACAAGUCUCUCACUCUGUCCUUUCAAGACCCUGGAAGAGUCUUUAAUACCAGGCUCAUCAUGCCAGCAGUUUGUCCAAAAGUAAGAAGCAAUGGCCGAAAGGAUCAUUUACCUUGCUUUUCUUCCAAGCUGGAUUCACCUGCUUUCUGGUCCAGGAGGACUCAUGGUGUGGUAUUGUUGGUGGUAUUGUUCUCCCGAGCUACUUUUCCAAAGGAGAACUUGGAGCGUGCUAAUUGAUGGGUGUCAGCGAUGUGACUGGAAGUGGACGACAGCUGGGAGCUGAGCGUGUUCUGCAAGGAGAGCUUGGGGUUUCCAUUGUAUAAUCUUGCAUCCUCCCAUCUGCACUGGCUUUUGUUUUGGGUCUCAAGCAAUUGGCUAGAGCCGAAAACAUAAACACCUCCGUGCGCUUGCCCCUUAUCAUUUUCUUUUCAUGUUGGUUAAGGAAAUACACCUGAGAAACCAAAGACACAC